rnacentral:rRNA from 1 species
UACGGGGGGAGCGAGCGUUGUUCGGAUUCAUUGGGCGUAAAGGGUGCGUAGGUGGUGGGGUAAGUCGGAUGUGAAAUCCCGGGGCUCAACCCCGGAACUGCAUUCGAUACUGCCUUGCUCGAGUACUGGAGAGGAGACUGGAAUUUACGGUGUAGCAGUGAAAUGCGUAGAUAUCGUAAGGAAGACCAGUGGCGAAGGCGAGUCUCUGGGCAGUUACUGACACUGAGGCACGAAGGCCAGGGGAGCAAACGGG